rfam:Protomyces lactucaedebilis strain 12-1054 BCR37scaffold_23, whole genome shotgun sequence.
GCCCUGAUGGCCCAAUUGGUUAAGGCGUCCGGCUUCGAACCGGAAGAUUGUGGGUUCAAGUCCCGCUUGGGGUU